UUCAUCUUGGCAGACUAAGUGCAUCAAAUUUAGAAUUUGAUUAAGUGAUUUUUUCACAGAUGGAA
rnacentral:tRNA from 1 species